rnacentral:rRNA from 1 species
CGACAGGCUUAACACAUGCAAGUCGAGGGGCAGCACAGGUAGCAAUACCGGGUGGCGACCGGCGCACGGGUGAGUAACGCGUAUGCAACUUGCCUAUCAGAGGGGGAUAACCCGGCGAAAGUCGGACUAAUACCGCAUGAAGCAGGGAUCCCGCAUGGGAAUAUUUGCUAAAGAUUCAUCGCUGAUAGAUAGGCAUGCGUUCCAUUAGGCAGUUGGCGGGGUAACGGCCCACCAAACCGACGAUGGAUAGGGGUUCUGAGAGGAAGGUCCCCCACAUUGGUACUGAGACACGGACCAAACUCCUACGGGAGGCAGCAGUGAGGAAUAUUGGUCAAUGGCCGAGAGGCUGAACCAGCCAAGUCGCGUGAGGGAUGAAGGUUCUAUGGAUCGUAAACCUCUUUUAUAAGGGAAUAAAGUGCGGGACGUGUCCCGUUUUGUAUGUACCUUAUGAAUAAGGAUCGGCCGACUCCGUGCCAGCAGCCGCGGUAAUACGGAGGAUCCGAGCGUUAUCCGGAUUUAUUGGGUUUAAAGGGUGCGUAGGCGGCCUUUUAAGUCAGCGGUGAAAGUCUGUGGCUCAACCAUAGAAUUGCCGUUGAAACUGGGGGGCUUGAGUAUGUUUGAGGCAGGCGGAAUGCGUGGUGUAGCGGUGAAAUGCAUAGAUAUCACGCAGAACCCCGAUUGCGAAGGCAGCCUGCCAAGCCAUUACUGACGCUGAUGCACGAAAGCGUGGGGAUCAAACAGGAUUAGAUACCCUGGUAGUCCACGCAGUAAACGAUGAUCACUAGCUGUUUGCGAUACACUGUAAGCGGCACAGCGAAAGCGUUAAGUGAUCCACCUGGGGAGUACGCCGGCAACGGUGAAACUCAAAGGAAUUGACGGGGGCCCGCACAAGCGGAGGAACAUGUGGUUUAAUUCGAUGAUACGCGAGGAACCUUACCCGGGUUUGAACGCAUUCGGACCGAGGUGGAAACACCUUUUCUAGCAAUAGCCGUUUGCGAGGUGCCGCAUGGUUGUCGUCAGCUCGUGCCGUGAGGUGUCGGCUUAAGUGCCAUAACGAGCGCAACCCUUGCCACUAGUUACUAACAGGUUAGGCUGAGGACUCUGGUGGGACUGCCAGCGUAAGCUGCGAGGAAGGCGGGGAUGACGUCAAAUCAGCACGGCCCUUACAUCCGGGGCGACACACGUGUUACAAUGGCGUGGACAAAGGGAUGCCACCUGGCGACAGGGAGCGAAUCCCCAAACCACGUCUCAGUUCGGAUCGGAGUCUGCAACCCGACUCCGUGAAGCUGGAUUCGCUAGUAAUCGCGCAUCAGCCAUGGCGCGGUGAAUACGUUCCCGGGCCUUGUACACACCGCCCGUCAAGCCAUGGGAGCCGGGGGUACCUGAAGUCCGUAACCGAAAGGAUCGGCCUAGGGUAAAACUGGUGACUGGGG